ACCGAAAUAGCUCAGUUGGGAGAGCGUUAGACUAUAGAUCGAAAAGUCCCUGGUUCGAUCCUGGGAUUCAGUA
rnacentral:tRNA from 1 species